UGGGAAGUUUUGGACAAUGGGCGAAAGCCUGAUCCAGCAAUGCCGCGUGAGUGAAGAAGGCCUUCGGGUUGUAAAGCUCUUUUGUCAGGGAAGAAACGGUGUGGGCUAAUAUCCUGCACUAAUGACGGUACCUGAAGAAUAAGCACCGGCUAACUACGUGCCAGCAGCCGCGGUAAUACGUAGGGUGCAAGCGUUAAUCGGAAUUACUGGGCGUAAAGCGUGCGCAGGCGGUUUUGUAAGUUUGUCGUGAAAGCCCGGCGCAACCUGGGAAUUGCGAUGAAGACUGCAAGGCUUGAAUCUGGCAGA
rnacentral:rRNA from 1 species